CAUAAAGGCCUGGGUGGUAUUUGCUAAGCAAGAGUAGUUAUCAGUUUGUGUGGUGAGAAAGGUCACCUCUUUAAGAUAAGAGACUCCAUCCACUCCAGUGCACACAUCAUCCGCCGCAGAGGAACCCGUGUGCUGGGUUCUGAGUCUCUUACCUCCAACAACUUCCUCUCAUCCAUAAAAAUGUCCUGGGUCAGUGAGAUGGCAUGGAGGGUGACCUGAAGGACAGCACCUCCCAGGAGUGUAGGGUGGGUCCCAAACUCCCAAGAUUCCCUGAAGAUGCCAGCAUUCAGAGACUUGAAGAAGAAGGGACUACUAAACAGCUCCAAUGUGCUUCCUACUGAUGGGUAUAGAAUCACUGGAAGAAACAUAUAAAUACAAGCAUUCAACACUGCUGAAGAUUCCUGGGGCCAAAGCUCCCACCACGCUCAGGGAGCAACCCAGACCCUGAUUGAUUAGUUGAGACUACAGGAGCCCUGGAUAGCUCUGCCCUCAAGUUUGAACUACCUUGAGCACAUCACAAUAAAUGCUGUCACGCUUCACAGUCGGGGGAUGACAAGGCCUCCUUCUAGCCCAGACUGCCUUGGAACUCAUGGCAAGUCUCCUGCCUCAGCUUUCUCAGCUUUUCAGUUCUCUGGUUUUUCAAGUGUAAGCUACUAAUGCCCGGCUCACCAAGCACCUUCUACCAUGUUGUAAAAGACAGAGGAGAUAGUAUGAAAGGUUGCAAUAUGGUUCUUCUCAAAGCAAACACAAACACACAGAGGUAAUGUUAAUACCAUCCGAAAAUCACGCUUAAUAGGUCAGAUGGGACGUUCAAAGAACCACCAUGCCAAUCAACAGAGUUGAAGACCCAAAAGAAAGUUCUCAGGAUAGCGGCGCAGUGACAGCUUCCCUGCCUGGAGGAGCUGGAAGGAGACAAAUGCUUUGCAGAGGUGGAUCUGCAGACAGUGGUGUUGCGGGUAAGGCUGUGGCAUGAGCAAGGCUGAAUG